rnacentral:rRNA from 1 species
AUUGAACGCUGGCGGCAGGCCUAACACAUGCAAGUCGAGCGAGUGGCGGACGGGUGAGUAAUGUAUGGGGAUCUGCCCGAUGGAGGGGGAUAACUACUGGAAACGGUGGCUAAUACCGCAUACUAUCGGAUGAACCCAUAUGGGAUUAGCUAGUAGGUGGGGUAAAGGCUCACCAAGGCGACGAUCCCUAGCUGGUCUGAGAGGAUGAACCGCCACACUGGAACGGAGACACGGUCCAGACUCCUACGUGAGGCAGCAGUGGGGAAUAUUGCACAAUGGGCGCAAGCCUGAUGCAGCCAUGCCGCGUGUAUGAAGAAGGCCUUAGGGUUGUAAAGUACUUUCAGCGGGGAGGCGUUACCCGCAGAAGAAGCACCGGCUAACUCCGUGCCAGCAGCCGCGGUAAUAC